rnacentral:lncRNA from 1 species
GAAGAACGUGGAGAGAUUAGACAGGCUUAGCCUCCCAGCCUACAUCUUUCUCCUUUGCUGGAUGCUUCUCCUUUGCUGGAUGUCCUCAAACAUCGGACUCCAAGUUCUCCAGCUUUGGGACUCGAACUGGCUUCCUUGCUCCUCAGCUUGCAGAGGGCCUAUUGUGUGACCUUGUGAUCGUGUGAGAGGGAAAUGAAUGCUAAGAAAAGUCAAGGAAAGCCAAGGACAGCCUCCAGGAGCUAGAAAAACAAAAAAUGAAUUCUCUUUCUGAAUGCCUCCAGAAAGGAAUGCACUCCUGCCAACACUUGACAUUCGAACACAGCAAGAGAUGCAUCAGACUUCUGAACUACAAAAUGCAACACGUCUGAGGAGAGCACCUAAUUGAUGAAAAAGCCAGAUGGUGAUACUUACUGUGAGAAUUGAAGAAACCAAGAAUCUUGGAUUAUGUUAACAUGAACAGUAAUGUUGAUUAACCUUCAUAAAUUCCUCCAAUUGUCUACGUGUAUAAAUGACAAUAAAACAAAAGGACUGCCCUAUUUGAAAUAUUGGCAAGUGAAAUGAUCACUCUGGAGAAUACAGAUCUUUGAAAUCAAUUAUAAUCUAAAUUCCCAAUUACUCUAAUAAAAGGGAAAUGAAUUAGCAAGAUCUGUAUGUUAUAUAAUUCUGAAGCUUCAUCUUUAUAAUAGAUGAAUUGUAAAUGUAUUAGAUCAAAUUUUAAAUUUGUACUAGAUAAAUUGAUUGUGCUAGAUCAAAUUGUAAAGUUGAUCAUUUAUCUGAUCCAUCAUUUAUUCAUGAAGUGCUGAAGUUGUUGUGCCUGGUAAAAAUGAGUGUCAAAUAAAAGUCUACCAUGACUUCUGCAUAAAACCUACAGUAAGUACAGGAAGAUUCUCAGUCAACAAAAACAACUAUAAUUGAGCCUUGAGGUAUAAGCUAUGUCCACUUAAUACUCCAAUUUUCUUCUACCUCUUUCACCCCUGAAACAAUAAGACCAACUACUCUUCCUCAUUCACCUCAGCCUAGUGAACAGUAAGUCUAUUAUGAUGGAAACCUUAAUGAUGAUUCACUUCCACUUAAUAAACAGUAAAUAUAUUUUUUCUUCCUUUGAUAUUCUCAGUAGCAUUUUCUAUUCUUUAGCUUACUUUAUUGUAAGAAUACAGUGUAUAAUACAUGAAACAUAUGAAACAUGUUAAUUGGCUGUCCAUGUUACUGGUAAAGCUUCCAGUGAACAGUAGAUUAUUAGUAGUUAAGUUUUUGAGAAGUCAAAAGUCAUAUAUAGAUUUUUUUAUUGUGCAGGGUGUCAGUUCCCCUAACCCCCGCAUUAUUCAGGAGUCAACUGUAUAUUGUAAAAUUAAAAUGGAUAAGUCAGAGAAUACACUUAUUAACAUGCAAUGGAAGUUUAGGGUAGACAGCCAUAUUUAUUUCUAGGAAAGUCAGCUAUAAAAGGAAUUUUAGUAAUACACCUAUACAUUCUGUCUUCCUUCAGAGAUUAAGAUGGUAGGAUUUAUGACUUAAGUAUGUGAUUCUGGAGACAGACUGAAAGCUCUAUAGAGCAUGCAUAGAUCUCUUUUGAAG